rnacentral:tRNA from 1 species
GCCUGGGUGGCUCAGUUGGUUAAACAUCUGACUUCAGCUCAGGUCACGAUCUCACGGCUUGUGGGUUCGAGCCCCACGUCGGGCU